GACGAACGCUGGCGGCGUGCUUAACACAUGCAAGUCGAACGGAAAGGCGCUGCUUUUGUUGGGUGCUCGAGUGGCGAACGGGUGAGUAACACGUGAGUAACCUGCCCUUGACAUUGGGAUAACAUCAGGAAACUGGGGCUAAUACAGCAUAGGAGCUCCUGCUGCAUGGUGGGGGUUGGAAAGUUUCGGCGGUUGGGGAUGGACUCGCGGCUUAUCAGCCUGUUGGUGGGGUAGUGGCUUACCAAGGCUUCGACGGGUAGCCGGCAUGGGAGGGUGACCGGCCACAUUGGGACUGAGAUACGGCCCAGACUCCUACGGGAGGCAGCAGUGGGGAAUAUUGCACAAUGGGCGGAAGCCUGAUGCGGCAACGCCCCGUGCGGGAUGACGGCCUUCGGGUUGUAAACCGCUUUCGCCUGUGACGAAGCGUGAGUGACGGUAAUGGGUAAAGAAGCACCGGCUAACUACGUG
rnacentral:rRNA from 1 species